rnacentral:rRNA from 1 species
CUACCGGGGUAUCUAAUCCUGUUUGCUCCCCACGCUUUCGCACCUCAGCGUCAGUAUCGAGCCAGUGAGCCGCCUUCGCCACUGGUGUUCCUCCGAAUAUCUACGAAUUUCACCUCUACACUCGGAAUUCCACUCACCUCUCUCGACCUCAAGACUACCAGUAUCGAAGGCAGUUCCGGGGUUGAGCCCCGGGAUUUCACCCCCGACUUAAUAAUCCGCCUACGUGCGCUUUACGCCCAGUAAUUCCGAACAACGCUAGCCCCCUCCGUAUUACCGCGGCUGCUGGCAC